rnacentral:lncRNA from 1 species
UUUCUGAGGAUUUCUCUACUUCCGUGAUGAUAUUUAGAAGCUGAGAACAAAGCUGCUCUGUGCAACUGGAAUUCCUCCUGUGCACCUCUAUGCCCAGCAGGACUUUGUUGGUUUAGGACCACGUGUGCUAAAACUCUCACCAGUAAAGCCUGGGAAAGUGUGUCCUUGCACGGUCUGGGUUUGAGCUAGGAAAGGCAGCAGACCACAGAACAGACUGUGCUGCAGAAAUUGUUUUUUCAAGUUAGUACCUGUUCACAGCAGCAGAAGUGUAGGUGGAAAUAUUGACCUUUGCCUUCUUUUGGGCAAGUAUUUUUGUCACUGCUGUUGAUUUGCGUCAUGUUCUGGAAAACUUGCGUGAACUGGUGGUGCUUCUUGCUGAAUUAUAAUGAACAAGCAAAGCAGCUGUUGUGAUAGCCUGGGAGAAGGGUUUGAAUGAAGUGGCAGCCGGCUCUUCUGUGGCCUUCACGUAUCUGUAGAAAUCAGCUCCAAGAAAUCAGAGCACUUGGUUGGCUGCUUUCCUCUGAUGCUUUUACAGACUUGGCUGUGACAAUGGAAAGUAAAAUCAGACACUCUAAACCAGAAUCUUUUUUGGUUUUGGGGGGAUCCUCCAUACUGAUAGCUUUGCUAGUUUCCUUAGUGCUGGAAUGCACAGGAAUCCAAGUCCUGCAUAGAGGCAAAGGGGUGAACACUUGGGAAUAGGGUAAAUCCUACUUAAAAACCUGUUAAAUCCUGCCCCAAAUACAUAAUUAUUUUUUUGGGGGGGAUGAGGGGAAGCGUGAAAGUUAUGGCAAAAUAACGUUUAAGAAGGGGCUGGUAUUGGACAGCAUUCCCCAUUCCACAGAUGGGUGGAUCAGCCAUCACGGAUUAACUAUCCAUAGUGAAAGUGAGAGUAAGGUUCCCUUUGUCCCUUGGAAGGGACUUUCCAUCUGCAACAUCCUCCCACCCCUCAGAGUUAAUGAAGGGAGUAGGAGGGCCUCUGGGAACUGGGUCAGUGGCAGCUCCAGCACAGUGCAGCUUAAUUAAGCGAAGGAAAAUAAGCAAGAGGGCAGGACCCCUAUGUGGCCAUCCAGGAAAGCAGCUGCGUUGGAGCAAGCAGAUAAAGCUGCAUUUCCACCUGCUCUACCAAGCUGCCUCUCGAUGUUCCCGAAGGCUGGAAGACACAAUCUCCACUGCAGAGGACAGCCCUGUAAGCUGUUCUACUUCUGAAGCUCUCAUUGUAAGAUGGACUAGCCACAUUUCCUUUCUGCAGAGCACACUUGCUUGGCUCUAGUAUUCCUCAUAGGGCCAACAGUCCCACUUUUAGGCUCUGCAACUGUCUUGUAAGAAAUCUGUUGCUGGGCUGACGUGGUCCAGCAUGGCUUAGGCUGUGUUUUCCUUGGCUUCUUUAACAUUACCAUCUUUAGAGCCUGUCAGGGAAAAAACCCAACCCAAACAAACCCUAAAAAAUCCCAUAGGGCUAUGUCAAACCAGAACAAGGGAGAACUGUUUUCAGGCUGGGAAUGUAAGAUGAGCAACAAAGUUUGCUCCCAAGACCUUUAGGUGUGGAUGGAUUGAAUAUAAACCCUAUUGAGAUGCAUGGACCCAGAUCCAAUUUUCCAAACAGCACAGGGCCAGUCAAAAUUGCAGUCUUUAUGUGGACACAUUGCUUUCUAAAGUUAAUUUUGAUACAGUCAAUUCUCUGUGACUCAGAAUGAUGUGAAGGUAUUCCUCCUACCUUAACCAUUGUUGGCAGGGGGACUUGGAGCAUGGCAGUUGGACAGAAGCACCUGGGAAACGUGCUUUGGGGCUCUGUUACUGACCCUCUGUUAAUUGCACAAGAGCUGCACAGGCCUCUGGUUUGCAUUGACUAAUUAGCUGAGUAAUGCAAUCUCCUUUUAAACGUUCUUUCUCUUCUAGAUCAAGAAUGAGACAUACAUUGAUUAAAUGACUUAGCCAAGGUCACAUAGUGAGUGACUCAUUGGCAGAGGCAGGAGUUAACACCUGGUAUUGUUAAAUUCCUGCUUCCCAGACCCCGUUGCCUCUUAUUUCUAAGUACGCUUCUCUUUCCUCUCCUGGCCCUUUUGCCUCUUGCCCACUGCAGGAUUUGUUACAUGUGCGAUUUCCAAGGUGACAAUAUCUGACGGCUGCCAAGAAAAUGAGACGUAUGCCCUUUGCUACAGACUUCUAUUGACAUACUCAGAAGCUAAAGUUCCUUUUAUUUCUUAUCUUUUUGAAAUACUUUACCAUGUUAUGCCUGAACUGGUGUGGUGCCAGGUCUCCUCUGCUCCCAUGCCUCCAGCAUUGCACAUGAUGGUGUUAGCCUGUCCUCUAAUAUUAUUUUGUGUUUUUUCUAGAAGCAUCUUUGCUGCAGUCUCUCUGAAGUGGGAACACUCUGCCCAUACCCACUGUUAGUAGAAUAGCAUCAUCAGUUGCAAAAAAAUCGGUGGGUGGGUUUUAUAAAUCCCAGUUCAGCGUUGAGCAAGGUAUAACAUCUGUUGUGAUCAAUAUUUUAGAGUAAGCCUGUUUGAUAAAAAGUUUCAGUAAAGCCUUCAGCUUCCUAGUGAAUAGCUAAAUAAUUCACAGAGGUGGCUCUAAUCGCUUUAAGCUUCUUGUGUUCGAAUGUAAGCAAAAAA